rnacentral:misc_RNA from 1 species
UACAGAGACCCCGACCGUUAUCCGGAAUUAUUGGGCGUAAAGCGUCCGCAGGCGGAUGUGUACGUCUGCUGUUAAAUCUGAGGGCUCAACCUUCAGGCUGCAGUGGAUACGGCGCAUCUAGAGGUAGGGAGAGGUAGACGGAACUCCUGGUGAAGCAGUGAAAUGCGUUGAUAUCAGGGGGAACACCAAUUGCGAAGGCAGUCUACUGGCCCUGUCCUGACGCUCAGGGACGACAGCGUGGGGAGCGAAGCGG